rnacentral:rRNA from 1 species
AGAGUUUGAUUAUGGCUCAGGAUGAACGCUGGCGGCGUGCCUAACACAUGCAAGUCGAACGGAGUUAUAUAACGGAAGUUUUCGGAUGGAAGAUAUGUAACUUAGUGGCGGACGGGUGAGUAACGCGUGGGCAACCUGCCCUGUACCGGGGGAUAACACUUAGAAAUAGGUGCUAAUACCGCAUAAGCGCACAGCUUCGCAUGAAGCAGUGUGAAAAACUCCGGUGGUACAGGAUGGACCCGCGUCUGAUUAGCUAGUUGGUGGGGUAGAGGCCCACCAAGGCGACGAUCAGUAGCCGGCCUGAGAGGGUGACCGGCCACAUUGGGACUGAGACACGGCCCAAACUCCUACGGGAGGCAGCAGUGGGGAAUAUUGCACAAUGGGGGAAACCCUGAUUGCAGCGACGCCGCGUGAGUGAAGAAGUAUUUCGGUACGUAAAGCUCUAUCAGCAGGGAAGAAAAUGACGGUACCUGAACUAAGAAGCCCCGGCUAACUACGUGCCAGCCGCCGC